rnacentral:rRNA from 1 species
UACGUAGGGCGCAAGCGUUGUCCGGAAUUAUUGGGCGUAAAGAGCUCGUAGGCGGUUUGUCGCGUCUGCUGUGAAAACCUAAGGCUCAACCUUGGGCUUGCAGUGGGUACGGGCAGACUAGAGUGCGGUAGGGGUGACUGGAAUUCCUGGUGUAGCGGUGGAAUGCGCAGAUAUCAGGAGGAACACCGAUGGCGAAGGCAGGUCACUGGGCCGCAACUGACGCUGAGGAGCGAAUGGG